UUUGGAAUAUUUUGAGUACAUUGGCUACCUCCUGAUAUUGGCUUCUACUGGGUAGAGGCCAGGGGUGCUGCAAAACACCUUCCAAUACAUAAGACAACCCUACAGCAAAGAAUUAUUUGGCCAAAUAUCAAUAGUACCAAGAAACUUUGCAAACCACUUUUGACU